GUCUCUGUGGCUCAGUUGGCAGAGCGUCAGUCUCAUAAUCUGAAGGUCGCGAGUUCGAGCCUCGCCGGAGGCA